UACGGGGGGGGCAAGCGUUGUUCGGAAUUACUGGGCGUAAAGGGCUUGUAGGUGGCCAACUAAGUCAGACGUGAAAUCCCUCAGCUUAACUGGGGAACUGCUUCUGAUACUGGAUGGCUUGAGUUUGGGAGAGGGAUGCGGAAUUCCAGGUGUAGCGGUGAAAUGCGUAGAUAUCUGGAGGAACACCGGUGGCGAAGGCGGCAUCCUGGACUAACACUGACACUGAAAAGCGAAAGCCAGGGGAGCAAACGGG
rnacentral:rRNA from 1 species